UGAAUACGAGAUGCUACGGCAUCGAAGCAGUCUAUGUCAUACUUCCAAGAAAAGCUUGCACUGUCAUAAACAAAUAAUGCCUGUACCAUAACCGACACAGGUGGGUAGGUAGAGUAUACUAAGGGGCGCGAGAUAACUUUCUCUAAGGAACUCGGCAAAAUGACUCCGUAACUUCGGGAGAAGGAGUGCCUUAUUUUAUAAGGUUGCAAUAACAAGAUCCAAGCAACUGUUUACCAAAAACACAGGUCUCCGCUAAGUCGUAAGACGAUGUAUGGGGGCUGACGCCUGCCCAGUGCCAGAAGGUUAAAGAAGUUGGUUAGCAUUAGCGAAGCUGAUAACUGAAGCCCUGGUGAACGGCGGCCGUAACAAUAACGGUCCUAAGGUAGCGAAAUUCCUUGUCGGGUAAGUUCCGACCCGCACGAAAGGCGUAAUGAUUUGGAUACUGUCUCGGAGAGGGGCUCGGUGAAAUAGACUUGUCUGUGAAGAUGCGGACUACCUGCACCAGGACAGAAAGACCCUAUGAAGCUCUACUAACUUGAGAUUGAAAUUGGACUUUAUUUGCGCAGUAUAGGUGGGAGACGUUGAAAAUAUUCUUGCGGGAAUAUUGGAGUCAUCAGUGAGAUACCACUCUUAUAAUGUUAGAUUUCUAACUUUGUAUCAUUAUCUGGUCAAAGAACAGUCUCAGGCGGGCAGUUUGACUGGGGCGGUCGCCUCCCAAACGGUAACGGAGGCGCACAAAGGUUUCCUCUGAACGUGUAGAAAUCGUAUCUAGAGUGUAAAGGCAUAAGGAAGCUUGACUGUGAGACCUACAAGUCGAGCAGGGACGAAAGUCGGCCUUAGUGAUCUGACGGUGCUGAGUGGAAAGGCCGUCACUCAACGGAUAAAAGUUACUCUAGGAUAACAGGCUGAUCUCCCCCAAGAGUUCACAUCGACGGGGAGGUUUGGCACCUCGAUGUCGGCUCAUCGCAUCCUGGGGCGGUAGUACGUCCCAAGGGUUGGGCUGUUCGCCCAUUAAAGCGGUACGCGAGCUGGGUUCAGAACGUCGUGAGACAGUUCGGUCCAUAUCCGGUGUAGGCGUUAGAAUAUUGAGAGGAGCCUUCUUUAGUACGAGAGGACCGAGAAGGACAUACCUCUGGUGUACCAGUUAUCGUGCCAACGGUAAACGCUGGGUAGCUAUGUAUGGAGAGGAUAACCGCUGAAAGCAUCUAAGUGGGAAGCCCACCUCAAGAUAAGUAUUCUCA
rnacentral:rRNA from 1 species